rnacentral:rRNA from 1 species
GUAAGCACUGAAUUCAGUUAACACAUCUGAUCUCAUCUGAUCUCAGAAGCUAAGCGGGGUACAGCCUGGUUAGUGCUUGGA